rnacentral:rRNA from 1 species
UACGUAUGGUGCAAGCGUUAUCCGGAUUUACUGGGCGUAAAGGGAGCGCAGGCGGCGCGCCAAGUCUGAUGUGAAACCCCGGGGCUCAACCCCGGGCAUGCAUUGGAAACUGGCGGGCUGGAGUGCCGGAGAGGUAAGCGGAAUUCCUAGUGUAGCGGUGAAAUGCGUAGAUAUUAGGAGGAACACCAGUGGCGAAGGCGGCUUACUGGACGGCAACUGAUGCUGAGGCUCGAAAGCGUGGGGAGCAAACAGG